CCUACGGGAGGCAGUAGUAGGGAAUCUUCCACAAUGGGCGAAAGCCUGAUGGAGCAACGCCGCGUGGGUGAAGAAGGUCUUCGGAUCGUAAAACCCUGUUGUUCGAGAAGAAAGUGCGUGAGAGUAACUGUUCACGUUUCGUCGGUAUCUAACCAGAAAGCCACGGCUAACUACGUGCCAGCAGCCGCGGUAAUACGUAGGUGGCAAGCUUUAUCCGGAUUUAUUGGGCGUAAAGGGAACGCCGGCGGUCUUGUAAGUCUGAUGUGAAAGCCUUCGGCUUAACCGGAGUAGUGCAUUGGAAACUGGGAGACUUGAGUGCAGGAGAGGAGAGUGGAACUCCAUGUGUAGCGGUGAAAUGCGUAGAUAUAUGGAAGAACACCAGUGGCGAAAGCGGCUCUCUGGUCUGUAAUUGACGCUGAGGAACGAAAGCGAGGGUAGCAAAUGGGAUUAGAUACCCGAGUAGUC
rnacentral:rRNA from 1 species